UACGUAGGUGACAAGCGUUGUCCGGAUUUACUGGGCGUAAAGAGCGCGCAGGCGGUCGAUCAAGUCGAGUGUGAAAGCCCCCGGCUCAACUGGGGAGGGUCAUUCGAUACUGAUCGACUCGAAGGCAGGAGAGGGUAGUGGAAUUCCCGGUGUAGUGGUGAAAUGCGUAGAUAUCGGGAGGAACACCAGUGGCGAAGGCGACUACCUGGCCUGUUCUUGACGCUGAGACGCGAAAGCUAGGGGAGCAAACGGG
rnacentral:rRNA from 1 species